rnacentral:rRNA from 1 species
UACAGAGGGUGCGAGCGUUGUUCGGAAUUAUUGGGCGUAAAGAGCUCGUAGGCGGUCUGUCGCGUCUGCUGUGAAAACUCGGGGCUUAACCCCGGGCCUGCAGUGGGUACGGGCAGACUAGAGUGCGGUAGGGGAGACUGGAAUUCCUGGUGUAGCGGUGAAAUGCGCAGAUAUCAGGAGGAACACCGGUGGCGAAGGCGGGUCUCUGGGCCGUAACUGACGCUGAGGAGCGAAAGCAUGGGGAGCGAACAGG